GCGCUACGUCACACGUCAUUUGCACUUGGCUCCUCGAAGAGGCAGGAUGCGUGUGUUCAGUGAGCUCCUGAACGACACCUUGCCAUGUGG
rnacentral:lncRNA from 1 species